rnacentral:sRNA from 4 species
GAGGAUGAGAACCUCCGGGGGCAAGAGGUUCGACUCGAGCGCAGCGAGAGAACGUUGCGUCAGCAACGGCCCGCAGGGCGAGCCACGCAGUGGCGAGUCAUCCUC